rnacentral:lncRNA from 1 species
UAGUGAUCACUUAAUAAUCAACUGCCACACAGAAAAAGCACAAGAAGUUUUGAGACGCAAUAUACAUAGUUCUUGACGGUGAAUACCACCAAGAAAACAAAAACAUAAAACAAAGCAUAGUUCGUCAAUCUUCUGGCGCGACAUCGAUGACAGACAACAUAACAAACCGCGGUAACUUAAAACAGUCUUAUUCCUGACAAUCUCAUAAUUAGACCUCGUUGAAGACAACCAUCGUCCAUCGUAUUCAGUUCGUCCAGUGCACUGUUCCUGAUGGUGAUUAGCACCGCUCUCUCAAUGCUUGGUAGUUCUCCUCCGGGAAUUCCUCUCAACCAUCCUUGUUGAAAAGCGAUAUGACCAUCUGUUACUGACUUGUAUGCGGCAGUAUCACUUUUGAAACUAACCAAAAAGCAUGAUGAAAUAAAAAUGAGCAAGUUGUGUAGAUAGAAUGAUGAAGAUAACAAAACUGAGGUCAUAGACAAAAAAUGAUGCCAAAUCAAAUGUUUAACAAAAACAAAAGUUACAAUGAAGAUGAUUGAGGACAAACUAAGUUCGUAGACAAAUCUGAUCAUGCCAUGUUUUACUUCACCAAGACAAACAGUGACUAAAAAGGGACUGAAGGGGUUGCACUAAAGAUUAGUUAUCUAACAGCGAAAGAAUGAUCAAUAUCAAGAUAAUGAACAUGGAUGGAACUGAAAUAUAAUUAAAUAUACAUCGAGAAUGAUAACUAAAGACUAAGGGAUGAAAGACAAAGUUAACUAAAAGGAAUGAGUAAGAGUGGAAAACAAAAAAUUAAGGACUAAUUCUAUCAUUACAAUGUCUCUAGACUGACGACAACUAGCACACAAAGAAAAUUUGAAUCACAAGUGAAAUGAGACACUGAUAACUGAAACACAAGACUGAGAAGUGACUGGAAAAUAAUAAUUUGAAUAAAAAGAAGAAUCAUGACGAAAAACACAAAACAAGGAAGUGACUGGAUAUGAAUGAACGAAGAGGUAAAAUGAAAACUCAGGACGAAAGAAGAUAAUGAAAUUACAAACAAAAGAAAAUGAGUGAAUCAACUACAUGACUGAAAACUCGGACAAAACUGAAUACUGACAAAUGAAACACUGAAAACUGAAAAACUGAAGAAAAUGACACCUAACAAUGAAAACGACACCUAACUACCCACAAAACUGAAAAAAAAAUACACCUAACACUGAAAAUACUGACGAAACUGAAUAAAAUGUCACUUAACAAUGAAACUACUGAAACCGAAGAAUGAAAUCCUCAUGUGAAGAAAACCGAGACUUUGAGUUUUGAGACUAAGAAUAAGACUGAGAGGAACAAUGAAUUAUAUUGAAAUAAAGAUGACAUAUACUGAAACGCAAACACUAUACGAUGGACUGAAAUAAUAAAUAGCUGAAUACUGAAGCGCUAAAAGCCGAUCCAAAGAAAAACUGAGGACUGAUGAAAUAAGCACUGACGAAAGGGUACUGAUAAGAACACGGAACAACACUGAAGAAUGAACAAUGACUUAAACUGAAAAGUACACUGAUGACUGAAAAACAAAACUGUCUGAAGACUGAUAUAUAACUAAAAUCUCAAGACUGAAUGACUAAAGAAUGAUGUACGCUUGAGAAUGAGAAACAUAAGAGUUGACAGCACUGAGCAUAUACAAAACUGAUAAAUUAUUGUGAUAAAUAAGUGAGUCAACUACAGAUUAAAAUUUCAGGAGCGUUCCUGAUGAACUAAACUAUCACGAACAUUCCUGGCCAAACAACCAACUAACUGAGCGACACCUGCGACGACCAUGACGAUGAACUGAAUUGAACGCGGGGAGAGGCAUAUCACAUCGAGCAACACACGGACAAAUUGGGCAGAGCGAUAACAGCAGGGAGACAGGGGGAAAAGUACCUUGCGCCCCACCGCGGCGACUACUACCUCUCCCAUCGACAGGCGCUGGUGGCGAGCACGACAGGAGAGCUCCCCGAGCUCCCUCCAGACCAACAUCCCCUGUACCUGUGGUCAUCCCUGCGAAAUACGCCUCCCACAAUCAAGCGCUCUUUGCUGGGGACCCGCCGCGUGCCAUCUCCGCCUCGACGACCUGCUGCUAAUCACCGGCGAGGAACCCCACCUUCCCUCCGCUGUCUCCGCCCUUCCUCCGUCAAUCCCCUCCUCGGCCAAGACAAAAGUAGCCGCCCCCCACCGACUGAAUGGACAUGAUGACCCUGUACGCGGAGAUUGAGGACAAACCAACGCACAGAGAUUCGUGUGUAUCCAACGGACAGAAAAACGACCUGAGCCGAAUUUAAAAACAGACGUCUGAAAAAUAGUAAAACUGAAAAUCUAAG